UACGUAGGGUGCAAGCGUUAUCCGGAAUUAUUGGGCGUAAAGAGCUCGUAGGCGGUUUGUCGCGUCUGCUGUGAAAACCGGAGGCUCAACCUCCGGCCUGCAGUGGGUACGGGCAAACUAGAGUGCGGUAGGGGAGAUUGGAAUUCCUGGUGUAGCGGUGGAAUGCGCAGAUAUCAGGAGGAACACCUGCGGCGAAGGCGGGUUGCUGGGCUGAUACUGACGCUGAGGCGCGAAAGCCAGGGGAGCGAACGGG
rnacentral:rRNA from 1 species